CAGGAAUAUGUAUCGUGCCCG
rnacentral:siRNA from 1 species